GAGAGAGGAGUAAAAGGAAGAAUAUGACCCAUUUGUCUUGUUGUCACAUCUGAAAGAAACAGCGAGAUCCAGCAGCAGCUUCCUCUGUUCCACCCGCUGGAUAAACGCCUACAUACACGACAUAGAAGUUACCUGCAUACGAAGCUCCAGGUCUCUGGCUGCCUGGUAGAUCUCCUCCUCCUCACACUCUCCGGACUGAGCCAGCUGAUCCGCUGCUUCCAGAAGCUUCUCUGCAUUAGUGUGUACUUACAGACACACCCCCUCCGCUCACCUUGGUGGCGUCCUGUUCAAACAGGUGCAGCUGCAGCGCCUGGUCCAGGUGCAGCUUCCUGUCGCUCCAGCUCUGCAGCAGGU